AAGGAAAAAUACGUUAAUCCGACGCAAUAGUUUACGUUGAAGAUAUUGCAGGAUUUCAGGUUAAAAAUUUGAGAACUACAGAGGGAUAAUAGAAUGGUGCGUCUGAAUGGACUCGAACCAUCGACCCCCACCA
rnacentral:antisense_RNA from 1 species